AGAGUUUGAUCCUGGCUCAGAAUUAACGCUGGCAGAGUGCAUAACACAUGCAAGUCGAGCGAGACUAGUAGCAAUACUAGUCUAGCGGCAGACGAGUGAGUAACACGUAAACAAUCUACCCUUGAAUGGCGAAUAACCAAUCGAAAGGCUGGCUAAUACGCCGUACUCUCCCUUGAAGGCAUCUUCGAGGGAGGAGAGAUCCGCAAGGAUCGUUCUUGGAGGAGUUUGCGGCCCAUCAGCUAGUUGGCGGUGUAAUAGACCACCAAGGCUACGACGGGUACCCGGCCUGAAAGGGCGGACGGGCACGAUGGCACUGAGACACGGGCCAUACUCCUACGGGAGGCAGCAGUGGGGAAUUUUGGACAAUGGGCGAAAGCCUGAUCCAGCAACUCUGCGUGAGGGACGAAGGUCUUCGGAUC
rnacentral:rRNA from 1 species